rnacentral:rRNA from 1 species
UGUGUAGGCGGCUUUUUAAGUUUGGUGUGAAAUCUCCCGGCUUAACUGGGAGGGUGCGCCGAAUACUGAAGGGCUAGAGUGCGGGAGAGGAGAGUGGAAUUCCUGGUGUAGCGGUGAAAUGCGUAGAUAUCAGGAGGAACACCGGUGGUGUAGACGGCUCUCUGGACCGUAACUGACGCUGAGACACGAAAGCGUGGGUAGCAAACAGGAUUAGAUACCCUGGUAGUCCACGCCCUAAACGAUGCAUAUUUGGUGUGGGUCAUUCAGUUGAUCCGUGCCGGAGCUAACGCGUUAAAUAUGCCGCCUGGGGAGUACAGUCGCAAGGCUGAA